UGGGGAAUAUUGGACAAUGGGCGCAAGCCUGAUCCAGCCAUGCCGCGUGAGUGACGAAGGCCUUAGGGUUGUAAAGCUCUUUUGGCGGGGACGAUAAUGACGGUACCCGCAGAAUAAGCCCCGGCUAACUUCGUGCCAGCAGCCGCGGUAAUACGAAGGGGGCUAGCGUUGUUCGGAAUCACUGGGCGUAAAGCGCACGUAGGCGGCUGUUUAAGUCGAGGGUGAAAGCCCGGGGCUCAACCCCGGAACGGCCUUCGAGACUGGGCAGCUCGAGACCGGAAGAGGAGGGUGGAAUACCCAGUGUAGAGGUGAAAUUCGUAGAUAUUGGGUGGAACACCAGUGGCGAAAGCGGCUCUCUGGUCCGGAUCUGACGCUGAGGCGCGAAAGCGUGGGGAGCAAACAGGAUUAGAUACCCCCGUAGUCC
rnacentral:rRNA from 1 species